GACGAACGCUGGCGGCGUGCUUAACACAUGCAAGUCGAACGGAAAGGCCCUGCUUUUGUGGGUUGCUCGAUUGCCGAACGGGUGAGUAACACGUGAGUAACCUGCCCUUGACUUUGGGAUAACUUCAGGAAACUGGGGCUAUUACCGGAUAGGAUCUCCUGCUGCAUGUUGGGGGUUGGAAAGUUUCGGCGGUUGGGGAUGGACUCGCGGCUUAUCAGCUUGUUUGUGGGGUAGUGGCUUACCAAGGCUUUGACGGGUAGCCGGCAUGAGAGGGUGAACGGCCACAUUGGGACUGAGAUACGGCCCAGACUCCUACGGGAGGCAGCAGGGGGGAAUAUUGCACAAUGGGCGGAAGCCUGAUGCAGCAACGCCGCGUGCGGGAUGACGGCCUUCGGGUUGUAAACAGAUUUCGACUGUGACGAAGCGUGAGUGACGGUAAUGGGUAAAGAAGCACCGGCUAACUACGUG
rnacentral:rRNA from 1 species